rnacentral:lncRNA from 1 species
UGUAUCUUACUUCCCCAAGAGGUGCACACGUAGAGGGGUUCCUUAAACCACAAAAUGCAGAGAGAUCUUCCCGAGGAGGCACACACGUAUUAAAUAAAUGCAAUUAGACAAAAUUCAUACAUCCUCGAGAGGUACACACAUAAAUAGUAAAGUUUCAGAGUAUGAAGCGAUCUUCCUGGAGAGGUGCUCACGUCUAAGUUAUCAAAAAGUAUCGCUUCUUGCAACUCCAGGAGGUACACGCAGAAAGUUUCAGACUAUUAUCUGGAAGGACAACACUCUCACGGCGGGUAUCCUGCCGACUACGCCAUAAAAAAUGUCUCGCUCCAAUUUAUAGGAGGGAGAGGAGGUUCUUAGAAAUAUGUAUGCCCGGCGUGAGAUUAAGAAACAGCGGUUCAAAUGUUGGUCCGACCAGUUUAUUAUAAAUGUUAAUAAGAGAGAUGGGGAAAGGGGAGGACGGACGCUAUUAAGGAUUGGGGUGAUGGGGAAGGGAAGGCGAGCGAUAGAAAAGAUAGAAAGAGGCAAGAAUUGCGUAAAGCGGGGAUAGUCACCACCAGGAUCCGGCAGCAGUCCCGUUGCACGACGUUCCGACGGUCCGAGGCCGAAGGGCAGGAGCAGCGAGGCCGGUCUGGGGCAGCGAGAGGAUGCAGGUCGGGGAGGAAGCAGCAGGUCUCAGGUAGCAGGCCCAGGGAAGUCCGUCAGCAAACGGUCCGUAGAG